UACGAAGGGGGCUAGCGUUGCUCGGAAUGACUGGGCGUAAAGGGCGCGUAGGCGGCCGGAUUGGUCAGGCGUGAAAGCCCCGGGCUCAACCCGGGGACGGCGCUUGAGACGGUCUGGCUGGAGGACGGAAGAGGCUCGCGGAAUUCCCAGUGUAGAGGUGAAAUUCGUAGAUAUUGGGAAGAACACCGGUGGCGAAGGCGGCGAGCUGGUCCGUGCCUGACGCUGAGGCGCGACAGCGUGGGGAGCAAACAGG
rnacentral:rRNA from 1 species